CUGUUAACGGGUUUUAUAACAACAAAAUUCUAUCCAGUUCGCACAAAUUGAAACGCUAAUUUUUCCAAAUAAAGAAUUUUCUGAAAUAUUCAUUAUAUUUCCUCAGUGUUUCUCGGUUGAAUUUUCAAAUUUGAAUAGCUGUUCAUCAGAAAUAUGUUGAAACUUGUAUGGUAUGGUGCGCUUUUAUUGCAUAUUUCAUUUGCAACGAUUGUGACGUGUAAAGCAAUAAAUGUCGAUGAUGAUGUUAAGUUCUUGCUUAUGCCGUAUGUUGAUUCCCUACUAUUUUGGACAAACACAACAUUGGAAAAACCAACAUCGGAAAAACCAACAUCGGAAAAACCAACAUCGG